GAAAAUAAAACCACUUUUAAUUAUCCUAUAUUUCAAAGCAAUAUGAAAUACACAAACAAAGGGGUUGCUUGGGCAAAAGGAUAAUAAACUGAAAUGUGAUUUUAAUGAACUCACAACCUGUUUACACUUCAUCUUGCUUCAUUUGUGUGUGUGUCUUGAUGGAAGGGAAUGAAGAGCACUAUCCACUAGUCCAGGAUUCAAGGUAAGAGAAGUUAGUUUCAGGAAAGAAUGCAACUCCAGGGCCACAGAAACCACCUGAAUGACGACACUAGUACCAGCAGAGGGUGCUGGCGUGGCACAAAAUUAAGAAUUUUCAAAAGGAAGAGGUCUUAGAUUAAAAGACAGCAGGUGUGAGGAAAAAUGUCAUAACUGUUUGUAUCCACUUGGAGGUCUGAAUUCUCUGCUUGCAGAUCUGUCUGGUGUUCAGUGAUUUCCUGCGAUGGCCACAUGAAUUUUAGGUAUCUCUUAAAGCAGAAAAGUGGGACAUUUGCUUCUGUGUUUGAACAGGACAGGGAGAAACCAUGCAGUCUGCCUCCUGUUUCCACUGGAGGACUUUUAGCAGCCUCUGGCGUCUGUGACACCUACAGGAUUAAGUUCACAUGGAGUCCCUACUUUAUUAUUAUUAUUUUAAAAACAAAACAAGCUAUUUGUGUGGUUACUAAAACAAAAUUGGCCCAGACUGUCAAUCCAGGGGAAUCACAUUUUCUUUUUUCAUUUAGCCACCUUAAAAAGAAGGUAACAGGUACCUGGGAACCCACAGGUAGUAGAGAUUGUGAAAGGUCAGGUGGAGGAGACAAGGCUGGCUGCGCUUUAUUUAGCGGAGUGCAGCCUCCCUGGCGGUCGCAGCACCAGUCAGCCCAGCCAGGACGUGUAGAAGAGCCCCCUGAAGUAGGUCACAGCGAAUGCUCCUUUUACACAGAGUCCCCUGUUGCGAUUCCUUCCGCUAGCAGCGCCUCUGCCAACCUGGGCUUCUGAACUGUUCUUUCGGGCGUUCUGGACUGGGAGUCAAUUGACCCACUGGAUUCGAGUCCAGACUUUCUGGGCCUCAGUUUCCCCCUAGGUUCAACGACAGGGGUGGACAACCUGACACCGAGGCCUCUUCCCGCCCCGACACAGCGAGGCCAGACAUUCCUUAGUGGCGCGGCAGGCCCCGCGCUCUGGAAAGGGCCGACGAGAAUGAGACAGCUCGGUCAGCACCAAGGACAAGGGCCCGGGGUCCGCCUGGCUGACGCGAGGUCACUUCCAGGCGAGCCCGACUGCUGAGCAAGCGUCCGGCGCAGGGUUCCGUGGCCGGGCGGGAGGGCUGGGGUUGCCGCGAGAAGCGCUGGGGGAAGGGGAGCAGUCCCGGGGAUGAGGCAAGGCCCGGCCCCGCGGCGGUCUUGCAGAUUCUGCGCCAAGAGGCCAAGGGUGGCUGCUGCGAGCGCGUCGCCCCUCCCUUAGGGUGCCCUGCCGCCUCCCGCGCCCCGCCCAGCCCGGGCCUUGGGGCUCACCGGGUGCCUCUGGCUCUGGAGGCCCCUCAAAGCCCUCCCGCACGCGUGGACCUCUCCAGCCCCUUUCCUGCCCCAGCAUCGCCCGGCUCCCUGUACCAGGGCUUCUUCUGGACACACCCGUGACUUCGACUCACUCCUGGGGUACGGGGUCCCGCGUCGCCUUUCUGCAACCCCCGCCCCAACUCCCUGCGGGGAAAGAGGCCCCACUCCCCAGUGCUCCCGAGCCUGAGCUGCCGGGCGCCCC
ensembl:lncRNA